rnacentral:lncRNA from 1 species
GUCUGUGUGUAUAUAAAGACAAGAGACCCUUAUGCUUUCUGUCUCCCUAGGUUCGGCCUCCCUGUCCAGCGUCUGUCAUCUGGUAGGAUCCCUUCCCCUGCAAAGAGGACCCGUCCCACCCUAAAUAAUGAGGAGUCAAUUAAUAAAGAUCAAAGCGACGGCAGGUGCUUGGGACCUCAAGCCUUUGGAGGGGAGCUCCAAGGAGUCCCUCAAUGUUCCUUCGGGAUCACGGGAAAGCAGAACAGAUGGGACACUCAGGAGAUGUUGUUUCUUCUCUUUCUUUCUUCUUUUUACAGGUGAGGAAGCUGUUGGAGAAAAUCUCUAACCCUUCCACCACCAGGAUGGUAGAUGCCUGAAGGCACCAACAAAGAUCGACUGGCAUAUAGUCCUAAAGCAACCAAAGGAUAUAUUGUUUCCUGAUUGGCUGAUUUUAAGGUAAGUACCAAUGCCAUGAUAGUAUCAUUAUGUUGAAAUAUAAG